rnacentral:piRNA from 1 species
UGGAACGAAGAAGUAGCCUCAUUCGUCCUUA